rnacentral:misc_RNA from 1 species
UCCGGUUUGUCACCGGCAGUCUCCCUAGAGUUCCCGGCCGAACCGCUGGCAACUAGGGACAAGGGUUGCGCUCGUUACGGGACUUAACCCAACAUCUCACGACACGAGCUGACGACAGCCAUGCAGCACCUGUCACUCGGUUCCCGAAGGCACUCCCGCAUCUCUGCGGGAUUCCGAGGAUGUCAAAGGCAGGUAAGGUGGGGAUGACGUCAUCUACG